GCUAACAACCCUUUGCUCCUGGGUGCAUCUUGGACUUUUUUAAACACUGGCGAUCGCCAACAUUAGCUUGGAGUAUUCCUGAACAUACUUCUUCAAGGUUUCCGAAUGUUUGAGCCGUCGAAGUUGUCUCCUACAAGAUAUUCAACGUGCUCGUGGUAGAAUUGCGCCUUCAGCUCGUGCACGAAGUCUUCCCAUGUUUUCAGUUGGCAUAGGCCCUUCUCGGCCUCUGUCGAUCGCCAACGCCACCACAGCAUAGCGUCCUCGGUGAGGUACAUGGAUGCGAUCUGGACCUUCUCUUCCUUGUCGUCCAGCCACAGCGCCUUGAUGUAGCGCUCCAUGUGCCACAGGGAGUUGUCGAUCUCCUCAUCGCGCAUUCCCUUGAAGUGUUGAGGUUCAGGGACACGUACCUUUGAAGCAUACUCCUUUUGCGGUUCAGGACCACGCGCCACCGCCCUUUCAAGGAUUGCCACCUGCAACUUGAGGUCCUCAACCUCGUCGUUCCUGGUAACAAGGUCCUCAACCAGCGCUCUUCGCUCGUUCUCACAUCGGGCAAAGUCACUGCGAAGCUGCUCGAUCUAUGGACGGAAGGUCGCCAUGGCAGCGGCAACGCUGUCCUUCCUGGCCUGCUGCCCUUCCUCCAUCACCCCCACAUGCUGGGAUAGGAGGGAGCAGUGCUCUUCUGUUUUUGCAACAGCAUCCUCCAACGAGCCCAUGCGGUCCUCGAGCGAUGUGGACUCUCUCACCAGAGUCUGCGGUUCCUUGCUCUUUUCUUGCUUGGUUUGCUUCGGAGGCUCAGCAGUUACGUCGAUGAUGGCAGUAUCUGAUGACAACAUGGUUCCUCCUCGAAUCGGCUCUGAUACCAACUGUCACGACCUUAGCGUUUUUGUUCUCCAAGCCCGUGCGGCGCCCGCAUUUCUGCUCAAAGAUGGGCAAGCCUAGCUCCUUUUUGCUAGCUUGGACUUUCGCGUCCUACCACUAAGUAUGCAAAAAGGAGGGAAGAGAGAGGCAGAGGUUUCUAAAAAAACUAAGUACUCCACUACUUAGGAAAAUAAGACUACAAUACACAACUCUUGUGUUUCUCCUUCUACCUACUUUGGCCUUAGCCAACCCUUCUACUUAUAGGAUCUAGUCUUAUAAAUGCAAUGAAUCUAGCCUACACUAACUCACCACUGAGCACAUGUUAAAGCACACAUUAACUCAUCCACUAUCACAUAAUAAUAAGCCCUCAUGAGUGCCUCAUGAAUGCCUAGUGAUCCCAAGAGUUGCCCAUGACCCUUGGGUUUCCGUUGUUGGUUUUGGAGCCAUUAAGUCUGGCAGUUAUAUGAUCCCUUGUCUCCUACAAUUGCUGCUGGUUUUGAGCCUCCUUUACAGCCCGCUCCGCUAGCGAAGUUAGGCCAAGGACUCAGAUUGCACAGUAAUUUCGCUAAGUCCCUAACAGAGAGCUCUCCAGCUAUCCAAGAGAAGAAAAGAAAAAGGUG
rnacentral:lncRNA from 1 species